UAACGACUCUCGGCAACGGAUAUCUCGGCUCUUGCAUCGAUGAAGAACGUAGCGAAAUGCGAUACUUGGUGUGAAUUGCAGAAUCCCGUGAACCAUCGAGUCUUUGAACGCAAGUUGCGCCCGAGGUCACUAGAUCGAGGGCACGUCUGCCUGGGCGUCACAC
rnacentral:rRNA from 10 species